rnacentral:ribozyme from 11 species
AAAGAAGGAAGAAAAGGAAGAAGAAACCACUUUUUGCAUUCAUUUUCUCUCACAACUCCUUCCUUUCACUUUCUUUUUAAAUUCACUUUAUC